rnacentral:piRNA from 1 species
AACUGGGUGUAGAUGUUUAAUAAGUAC